AACGAACGCUGGCGGCGUGCCUAAUACAUGCAAGUCGAGCGCAGGAAGCAUGCAGAUCCCUUCGGGGUGACGCAUGUGGAAUGAGUGGCGGACGGGUGAGUAACACGUGGGCAACCUGCCUGUAAGACUGGGAUAACUCCGGGAAACCGGAGCUAAUACCGGAUAAUACUUUUGCUUUCAUGAGCGAGAGUUGAAAGGCGGCCUUUGGCUGCCACUUACAGAUGGGCCCGCGGCGCAUUAGCUAGUUGGUGAGGUAACGGCUCACCAAGGCGACGAUGCGUAGCCGACCUGAGAGGGUGAUCGGCCACACUGGGACUGAGACACGGCCCAGACUCCUACGGGAGGCAGCAGUAGGGAAUCUUCCGCAAUGGACGAAAGUCUGACGGAGCAACGCCGCGUGAGUGAUGAAGGUUUUCGGAUCGUAAAACUCUGUUGUUAGGGAAGAACAAGUGCCGGAGUAACUGCCGGCACCAUGACGGUACCUAACCAGAAAGCCACGGCUAACUACGUGCCAGCCGCCGCCGUAAAAC
rnacentral:rRNA from 1 species